GUUUGCAUCGACUUACAUAUCUUUCUCUUGUAUUUACUCAGUUGACUUGGCUGAGCCAUCACUUGACAAAGAUCUGGUUUUAUGUUGAUAAGGUAUGUUAGGCUGUUCUCAAUUCAUAGUGAGCAAUAUUUGUAAUUUUUAUUCAGAGUCUAAACUUAUAAGUCUGUUCUCAAGAAAUCCAUAGUAUUGACUAAUUUUUAUUUGCUCCAGGUAAGUGCUUUGAAAGAUGUUGAUAUUCUCAUUGAUGCCAUGGAGAUUUUGUAAGUGUAGCAGAACUUGUUAUCUUAGUUGUCUUAAUAGCAUAACUAUCCUUGAUCUAUCCUAUCAAAUUCUAGAAACUUAUUGUAUCACUGAUAAGAAAAAAUGUUGAUUUUACUUCUGUGAGGCAGAGAAGGAAGAGUGUAUUAAUCAUUUGGUAACUACAUUGUUAUAACUAGUGUGUUUUUGAAUUCAUCUGACUUUUACCAUUGUCUUUUUUUUUUCUUCUAGAUUACAUACACCAGAUAGCAUUUCCAAGAAUUGUAUAAUUUGUCAGUGGAAUUGAUUCGGAGAGGUCAUGCUUGUGUUGAUCUCAAGUUAAAUCAAUUUAAACUUUCUGAUAGAAAUAGAUCCUUGUUUCUUUUUCCAGUUAAUUGUCAUUCUUUAGCUAUACUAGUGCAACUAACUCCACACAUGAAACUUAUUUAUGCUUUCAGAUGCCGGGAUAUAUAAGAGAGUACAGAGAGAAGAAAAUGAACAUCCCUGGAGGAAAUGAUUGAGGAGGGAAAGGCAAGGAUAAAGAAAGGUAUGCAGAGUGAAAAUUUUAACAUGUAUGACCUUAUUGGCUAUUGAACAGAGAGGCAAGUGAUAAAAUCAUCUCUGGUUACAUAUAAGAAAUAGACUCUCUUUUAUCUUUUGGUGUCUGAAUCUUUUGGUGUCUGCUUUGCAGUUCAAACCCUCAUCCUAAGGCUGGUGACUGCUGCAUGCGGUAUGUCCCUUUCUAAGUCUUUUGGCUAUUUGUAGCAUGAAAUAGUAUAACUUUCACAACUACAUUUUUUUGACCCGCUAUUUUACUUUCAGUAUUAGAAUAUCCCUUAUGUAUCUAAAGUAUUUGCUGUUCUUAAAACUAUCUUUGUGGUUUUGAUCUUUCUUUUAUUUUCAUAAUUGUAGCUAUGUACUCUUGAAACCUGGCGUGCUUCAUACUACUAACACUCUACGCGUGUAAGGUAAAAUACUCAACUAGCAUGUGAC
rnacentral:lncRNA from 1 species